rnacentral:rRNA from 1 species
ACUCAAAUGAAUUGACGGGAGCUUGCACAAGUGGUGGAGCGUGUGGCUCAAUUCGUCGCUAAGCGAAGAACCUUACCAGGGUUAGAAAUCCUACUGCACGCCCGAGGAAACUCGGGAAGCUUUCGAAGGUGUAGGACAGGUGAUGCACGGCUGUCGUCAGUUCGUGGUUUGAAUCGUUCCCUUCAGUGGGGUAACGAACGCAACCCUCGUUGCCAGUUACAAGUGUCUGGCGAGACUGCCCCCUCACGGGGGAGGAAGGUGAGGAUGACGCCAAGUCAGCGUGUCCCUCUGAUAUCCUGGGCUGCACACGCGCUACAAUCGCCGUUACAAAGAGGCGCAAUACCGUAAGGUGGAGCAAAUCUCUAAAAGCGGCGCCAGUUCGGAUUGGAGUCUGCAACCCGACUCCAUGAAGCCGGAAUCACUAGUAAUCGCGGGUCAGCCACACCGCGGUGAAUACGUUCUCAAGCUUUGUACACACCGCCCGU